UUUUAGCUCCCCAGUUGAGCUAGUCAUGUCAUGACGCCACCACCUCAAGAGUGUUGUCAGGCGGCGCAUUUAUCGCCUCGGCUAAUUACAUGAGAACACGGCUUCCCGUCAGCCCUGUCGCCGAUAACUGCACUUACUUGCAGGGUUGCUAUAUUGAGAUUUAAAAAGGUCUGCAAGCGGAGCCGACAGCCGUCAAUCAGAAGCUAAAAACCGGUAGCUGCCAGCUCAAACAUUAAAGAAUAAAAAAGUAGUGGAGUGGCGUUUAUGCUCCAUGCAAAACGGACUUCGACUGUCUGGUGCGAUUUGACUACGCAUGCAACGUGUAUACGCAAAACCCAGCAUGUUUAUACACAAUGGAUGGGGGUGGAUGUGGUUGCGUAUGGAAGCUAGGUUCACAGCGGCGGGCCUAGAACACGGUUAGCUGGAAGAGAUAUAGAGAUAUUUACGAGUGUGUCCUCCCUUAGGACAUUUCUCGUCUCAUAACAACGUCACCUCUUCGCCAG